UACGAGUGCUUCGAGCGUUAUCCGGAAUUAUUGGGCGUAAAGGGUGUGUAGGCGGCUAUAUUAGUCUCGCGUUAAAUUCUCCGGCUCAACCGGGGAGCUGCGUGGGAAACGGUAUGGCUUGAGGACGGAAGAGGUCUCUGGAACUCAUGGUGUAGCGGUGAAAUGCGUUGAUAUCAUGGGGAACACCAAAAGCGAAGGCAAGAGACUGGUCCGCUCCUGACGCUGAAACACGAAAGCGUGGGUCGCGAAUGGG
rnacentral:rRNA from 1 species